rnacentral:lncRNA from 1 species
CCGGGUCAGGAGGGCGGGUUUGGAGCCGGGUCGACCCGUCGCACACCUGUGCGACGGUCGCACCCAAUAAUCUGCGUUAUAAUUCUAUUUUGAAAAACAACACAAAACCUUACGGACUUAUUUAUACUUUAUUAUACCUAUAAAUUACAGUUUUUAAUUACAACGUAAUCCUCAUACCUAUAUAUAUAUGGGUGAGCUAAAACGAAAACACAACUUAAAAUAUAAUAUGAAUCAUUUUCAGCUUUUAUAUCAAUAUUUAUCUAGAUAGGGUGAAUUUUUACCUGAGUUCAAAUUCUGAAGGGAGCGAAAAUUUUAUCAAUUAAUUGAAUAUCGUUAUUCAGUCAUUACAAACAGCUUAUGCAAUACUAUAUACUCACUUAUUUAUUAUUCUUAUUUCUUAUUAAAAAAAUAGCAUUCUCAUUGUAACCUAACUCUAGAUAUAGAUGACGGGGGAAAUCUACAAUAGUAUGCACUGAAUAAAUCUAACUCUAGAUACAGAUGACGAGAGAAAUCUUCAAUAGUAUGCACUGAAUAAAUCUCGGUCGAACGCAAUAGCCUGCAAAAUCAAGUAUGACAUGUUCGAUUUAAUUAGAAAGUGUUGGAUUUUAGGUGUUUUAGUUUGGUAAAAAUUGAGAUUGGAGAAGCUAUAGUUCCAUGAGCAUUAAAGGUAGAUGGCAUGCAAUUGAGAAGCACAUUAAAUCCGAUGAUAAGUUACCGUUAAAAUGGUAGUUGAAAUGGGCCAGCUGAGGAUAAGGUGUAGCCCAAUAAAGGCCCAUAAUAAUUUCCACAAUAAAUAGGCAGUACCGACAUCUCACGUGAUCUUUUACGGUUUUACCCAACAACAAGAAAUGGCGUAGGACCCAACCACCCUUUUGCACUUUUUAAAACCAAUUAUCAGAUUAUUUCAUUUUGUUAUUAGCCAUUUGUGUAAUCUACUCUGAUUUAACAAUUCAUGGGAUUGGGCAAGCCACAUAUUCUGAAAGGCUAAGCAUGCAUUUUCAAAUGUAGACAAAUGCAUUGAUUGAUCAUAAAAACUGUCAGUAUCAUAGGAUCGGUCAAAUUGAAAACUUGAAUGCCAGCAAAAUCACUGAUUUUUAUUUAUUUUUUUAUAUAAAAAAUGGGUUUAUUACAUUAGUAAAAGUUUGGAAACAGCCAAAUUUGAGUUGAUUAUGAUAUUUAGGAAAGCCGCCAGAUUUUUGUUGAGUACAAUAUUCUAGAGGGUCGCAGACACUUCCAGAAUUUAGUAGUAUUGCAAAUAAAUGUAUUGCUGCUAUAAACGUGUGCAUUAUAUCUAUAAUAAAUAAUUACAUAUGGAUGUUAUUUAUUUUGAUAAAAGAUAAAACUCUUUUUGUUAAAAACGUAUGCACCCGUUUAAAAAAAUCUGAAGAUAUAAAAUAGGAGUAUAUUUUAUCUAUUUUAUAAAUAUUUUAUUUAAAUUCGAAACUUUGACGUGCAUCAUACAACUAGGUAAUUACUAAAAAGAGAACCAUACAAAUGCUUAGCUGGCUGGAGAAGUAAUCUUUUAUUUGAUUGAAUUAAUGUCUACCGAACUUUUCAUAGAAUUGAAAUGGCGAUGAAAUUAAUGCAUCCUUAAACCCCAAAUGAGGAAAUGAGUGAUGAUAAAUAGUCAUUGUGGCUGCCCAUAUAUUAAUUAAAUAAAGGACCUUGCUAUUUGGAUCAAUUUGAUCCGGAUCAAAUCAAAAAAUUUAUUACAUUUCAAUAUAAAAAGACAUUUUUACCCUUUAUGUAUUUUAUAUUUUAUAAUUUAAUGUAUUAAUUAUAUAUGUGUGUGUAUAUUGGGAACAUUAAUUUCAUUAAAUAUUUUUAUAUUUUCAAUGAAAAUUUUGACUAAUUUACAAUGUAUUUUGUAACAAACAUGAAUCUUUUUAUUUUCAUGACAUCUGUACGUUUUUUUUUUUUGUUAACAUGAUUUCUUUAUUUUGUUAACAUGAUUUCUUUUUGUAAACACGCCUUUUACUUACUUUAAUUUUAAAGCCAAAAAAUAUUGUAUUUUCUUGUUGACCAAAAUUUAGAGGAAACGAAUCAUAAUUGAAUAACCAAUUAUUUCAUUGGCAUUUGAUCGAUAAAUAUAAACAAUUUCAUGAUUAUGUUUUUUACUUAUGUAAUUUGUCGAAAAUAAAUUAUAUUGUAUUAAAUACAAUUAAUUCAUAUUUUUUCAUUUAUUAACUAAUACUUAAUUUUUUAUAUUUGUCAAAAAAAUUGAGCUUACUUUAAUAUAUAUAAAAACAUGAAAUCGAAUUGUCACUUCUUGUCCAAUUGCUACAAUUGAAGUAUAUAUAGUUUCGUCACUAAUAUAUAUGAAUAACAACUUACCUUUAGUGAUCGCCAAUUAAUUUUAAAAUGUAUUGUAUAAUUUUGAUACCUUUUUUUGGAUUUCUUAAUACAUUAAAAAAAUUUAAACUACAAAUAAAGUGUCAAAAUUUAAUAAGGGCCCGAAACGACUGAAGCCUUCGAACAAAAACACGAAGCUCUUUUCUUAACUCUUGUAAAAUUUUCAUUUAGAAAACACCACUAUUUUUUUUGUUAUAUUUGUCUUCAAUUAAUUUUGUUGAAAGUCAUUUGUUUAUAAUUCUAUAGUGAUUGUAUUAGUUUUGUAUUUCUUAAUGUUGUAACUUGACGAAAAUAAACUAUACUUUGUUAAAUAUAAUUAAUUCAUCAUUUUUACUAAUAACUAUAAACAAAGAGUCCAAUUUUUUGUCAAGGACAGAGGCCUCAAGUUAUCGUAGAUCGUCCUUGCAUAUAUAUACAUUUUUAAAUAUUUCAAAACACAUGCACACAUGAGUCGAUCAACUGAAUAAGAUUGGAUGAGAAGCGUCUUAUCAAUUGAACUGCGUUUCAUUAUCAUUUAUAUACAUUUUUUUUCAAAGAAAUUUAUAUAUAUAGUGACUGUCUUAGUUUUAUAUUUUAAAUUUAUGUAAUUUGNCGGAUGCAGAGGCGUUUGAUGAUCGUAUCGAAAGACUCCAGUUCUGAUCUUCUGAACUGUAUCCCGCUCAGCUUUCACCGUUGGAUGGACAACGAACUAUGAAAGUACCAAGCUAGAAAUCUCCUACACGUUUCCUGCGCCUCCCAUAGCUCUCAAAACCCUAAUUUUAUCAGUGUGUCUUUUCUGAGAGCUGACAGCUGUAUUUGAUAAUAAAAGAAAGAGAGAGAAAAAGAGCAGGCAGAAAUAGCCAAGCGUGAUGACGACGUCGCCGGGGUAGUGGAACGUCUGAGCGGAGCUGAGGCAGAAAUUGCUGAGUUGAAGGCCAAGCUGGCCCAAGUAGAGGUGGAAAAGUCGUCCCUGGCCUCCGAACUGACAAGGGUGACGAGGGAGAGCCAUGAGAGCCUUAUCAGAUUCAAGGCGGGGUACGAAAAAGACUACAGGGAAGCCAGGCGUGACUGGAGGAAAACACUUGUGGAAGCACAGAACCGUGCUUAUGUCCUAGGGGCGCGACCAGUAAAUUUAGUCGGGUUUUGGAGAGCUGUGGGCGCAGGAAACGUGAGGAGCUUGAGUCAGUUUUUCGCAGGAAAUCAAGUUCUGGCAGUUUCGGGAGAACGGCCAUAACUUCCUCCACAGAACUCCGAUUCAGGUGAAACAGGCGGCCACGGAAAGCUCUCUCGAAGACAAAGAAGUCGUAUUUCUGGGCGAAAUACGAUUUGAGGACGUUUGAGGCUUCAAACGAAGGCUUGAAGCUGACUGGUCUGUUCAGCUGCGAGUUUGACGAAAACUUUGAAAUUUCAAGAGUUCAUAUAGGGAUGCGUUGGUAGAAAUCAUCAAAGGGAGUUAUCAAUUUCAAGAAUUAGGUGAGGGAUUUUACGCUUAUUCAUAUGGUUAUAUAUGUUUUUAUAUCGCGUUUGAUUACUUGUUUACGUGCAUCUUAUGUCUAGGUUGUUAUGUGUGAUCAUGAGACCUAAGCCAUUGAUCUAUGUUAUGUGUGAUCAUGGGACCUAAGCCAUUGAUCGAUCAUGGGACCUAAGCCAUUGAUUUAUGUUAUGUGUGAUCAUGGGACCUAAGCCAUUGAUCCGAUCAGUGGACCUAAGUCCAUUGAUUUAUGUUAUGUGCGAUCAUGGGACCUAAGCCAUUGAUCUAUGUUAUGUGCGAUCAUGGGACCUAAGCCAUUGAUCUAUGUUAUGUGCGAUCAUGGGACCUAAGCCAUUGAUCUAUGUAUGUGUUUGGUCAUGGGACUUAAGCCAUCGACUCAAACUAUGAUUAUGUUUGUCAAGGGGCUCCGGUCUCUUGGCGUAUGUUUGCAAGUAUGAUAAUGUGAUUUGAUUAUAUAUGUGACGUAUGUGGAUAUUUGUUAUGUUCCUCACUGAGUAUAUUUUCAAUAUGCUCACCCCUUAUCGUUUCAGUUUUGCAGUUUCAGAGUCGAAGUGGCCAUGGAAGUGGAGAAUGACUAGGGAUAAGGAUUUCUUUUACAUUGGACAUUUUAGUUGAACCUAUUAAGUUUUAUUUUAUUUUCAUGUUACUACUUUAGUUUUGACAAGUUGACUUUGAAAUUAGUUUAAAUUUUCUUUAUAAAUCAAUAAAUUUUAUUUUCAUUAUAUUAGUUCUUCAAAGUUUUUAAUUUGAAAAGUUUAUGAAAAUUGGGGUGUUACAACCAUAGUACAAAAUUGAAUCGUUAUGAUUAGUUGGGAUCCACCAAUUAAUGUGCGCUGAUAUUGUACCAUGAUAUGUCUGUCUUUUUAUUCCAACAACUGUGACAUUCAUGCUUUUGUCCAUGUUGCAUAUGCAUUCAAGAUAUUAUAUUUGCUAUUUUCUUUUUAGAUCAUAGAUUGCAUGUGGACUUUUCCAAUCAUUUUCAAUAUCUGUGAUCCCACAAUCUAUUAUUAAUUCCACUUAUUAUAAAAUUAAGUACGCGGCCCUAAUACCAUAAAGGUGCAUUUGAUGAUUUUACGGAGUUGAUUGUUAAGAUUGAUAGAGUUGAAAAUUGAUUCAAUAUUUAAUUUAAUUUAAUUUUAACAUGAUAAAUAAUUAUAUAAUUGAAUGAUUAUAGAGUGGAUUGAGUUAUUUAUUAUCGGGUGAAUCAUACAAUUUAAUAUUUGAUUAAAUUGAAUUAUUUUAUUUUAUCGAUCAUGUCUUAUCCCCUCGAACCAAAUAUUUUCUAAUAGUUGUCUCAAAAACUAAAUUUAUCAUUAAUACAUACUGCACACACACACACAUAUAUAUGUAUAGGAUUUUAUAUUUUUAGGUUAAAUAUCAUUUUAUAAAUCAUAAAUUAUUUUUUAUAUUAUCAAUUAUAUCUUGAGCUAUCGAAAAUACUUUUUAAUCAUGAACUAUUGAUUUUAUAUUAAUUGUACCCUCCAAUCAUUUUUCAAUUUCGAAAAAAUGGUCGUGGCUCGCCGAAUAACACUGUGUAUCUAAAAUUGUUCCUUUUUCACUUACAUUUAUGUCAAAAAAUGACUGGUUCUAUAUUAGAAAGAAGGGUUGUUGAAGAUUUCGUUUUUCAAUUAAUAAUUAAGGCAGAAAAUGACUUCGUUUUUUGCCAUUUAAGUUAAAAAAGAAUAAUUUUAAAUAUAUCUUGUCAUCUAGCGAAUCACGUCAAAUUUCGGAGCUAAAAAAUGGACGGAGAGUAUAAUCGACACAAAAAAUGGAUAGUUUAUAAUUUAAAAGAAUAUUUUCAAAUAAUUAGUAGAUUAUUUGCAUUCCCACUUUUCCCUCAAGAUGCAUUCAUCGAUUUUUGAAACUAGUGUCGCUUCCGACAUGAACUGAGAAGGAUGUUGGACAAGUAUAUUUUUACGGUGCUGAGGGAGUAUAAGAAUGCCAAAGUAUCUUUUCUUGAUGAAGAUACAUAUAUGAAUAAUGCAUAUUUUUUUUUAUUUUUUUUGCGUUUUUUUUUUUUCAAAAGAUUCAAAGUUCUGAAAUGAUAAUUAGAUUUUGAACUUUGUGGUUAAAAUAUGGUGCAUAAACCUAAUUUACAUUGUCGUAUAAUAAAGUUCAACUAUAUAUGGAUAUUCUUAAACGUACAUAACACAAGAUUCGAAGCAUUAUCUUACAAAAAACGAAAGUUUAGAAGUCAGACCCCAUGACAUAAUCAAAGUUUCAAGAACUCUAGCUACACCAAAUAAAAAUCUUAUAAUUCUAUUUUGAAAAACAACACAAAACCUUACGGACUUAUUUAUACUGUAUUAUACCUAUAAAUUACAGUUUUUAAUUACAGCAUAAUCCUCAUACCUAUAUAUAUAUAUGGGUGAGCUAAAACAAAAACACAACUUAAAAUAUAAAAUAUGAAUCAUUUCAGCUUUUAUAUCAAUAUUUAUCUGGAUAGGGUGAAUUUUUACCUAAGUUCAAAUUCUAAAGGGAGCGAAAAUUUUAUAAAUUAAUUGAAUAUCGUUAUUCAGUCAUUACAAACAGCUUAUGCAACAUUAUAUAUAUACUGACUUAUUUAUUAUUCUUAUUUCUUAUUAAAAAAAUAGCAUUCUCACUGUAACCUAACUCUAGAUAUAGAUGACGAGGGAAAUCUACAAUAGUAUGCACUGAAUAAAUCUAACUGUAGAUAUAGAUGACGAGAGAAAUCUACAAUAGUAUGCACUGAAUAAAUCUCGGUCGAACGCAAUAGCCUGCAAAAUCAAGUAUGACAUGUACGAUUUAAUUAGAAAGUGUUGGAUUUGAGAUGUUUUAGGUUGGUAAAAGUUGAGAUUGGAGAAGCUAUAGUUCCAUGAGCAUUAAAGGUAGAUGGCAUGCAAUUGAGAAGCACAUUAAAUCCGAUGAUAAGUUACCGUUAAAAUGGUAGUUGAAAUGGGCCAGCUGAGGAUAAGGUGUAGCCCAAUAAAGGCCCAUAAUAAUUUCCACAAUAAAUAGGCAGUACCGACAUCUCACGUGAUCUUUUACGGUUUUACCCAACAACAAGAAAUGGCGUAGGACCCAACCACCCUUUUGCACUUUUUAAAACCAAUUAUCAGAUUAUUUCAUUUUGUUAUUAGCCAUUUGUGUAAUCUACUCUGAUUUAACAAUUCAUGGGAUUGGGCAAGCCACAUAUUCUGAAAGGCUAAGCAUGCAUUUUCAAAUGUAGACAAAUGCAUUGAUUGAUCAUAAAAACUGUCAGUAUCAUAGGAUCGGUCAAAUUGAAAACUUGAAUGCCAGCAAAAUCACUGAUUUUUAUUUUAUUUUUUUAUAUAAAAAAUGGGUUUAUUACAUUAGUAAAAGUUUGGAAACAGCCAAAUUUGAGUUGAUUAUGAUAUUUAGGAAAGCCGCCAGAUUUUUGUUGAGUACAAUAUUCUAGAGGGUCGCAGACACUUCCAGAAUUUAGUAGUAUUGCAAAUAAAUGUAUUGCUGCUAUAAACGUGUGCAUUAUAUCUAUAAUAAAUAAUUACAUAUGGAUGUUAUUUAUUUUGAUAAAAGAUAAAACUCUUUUUGUUUAAAACCUAUGCAUGCACCCGUUCAAAAAAAAUCUAAAGAUAUAAAAUAGGAGUAUAUUUUAUCUAUUUUAUAAAUAUUUUAUUUAAAUUCGAAACUUUGACGUGCAUCAUACAACUAGGUAAUUACUAAAAAAGAGAACCGUACAAAUGCUUAGCUGGCUGGAGAAGUAAUCUUUUAUUUGAUUGAAUUAAUGUCUACCGAACUUUUCAUAGAAUUGAAAUGGCGAUGAAAUUAAUGCAUCCUUAAACCCCAAAUGAGGAAAUGAGUGAUGAUAAAUAGUCACAUUGUGGCUGCCCAUAUAUUAAUUAAAUAAAAACAUACUCCUAUUUAUUUAAUUUAUUUUUAGUAAAAAAAUUUAAUUAUUUACAAUAAUAUUCACAUUAUAUUUAUUUAUUUUAUAGCUAUAAUAGGUAUAAUAUAGUAAACUAAUGAAAACUUUUAUAUUAAAAAUAAUAAACUAAUUAAUCUUGUACGAUAAAAAAUGAAAUUACCCUAAUAAAUAAAGAAAAAAUCAUAAUAAUAGGGGUGAGCAGCGGGUUGGACCCGAACCGAUCCGUCAAAUUUGAUGGACCGAAAAUUUUAAAAUUUUGGACCAACCCGGACUGAAUUCUAAGAGUGGACCGAUCCAAGACCGGACCGGAACAACGGGUCCGAUUCGAUCCGGAUACGACCCACUGACAAUGUAUUUUUUUCCCCAAUCUUUAAGCACAAUAUCUACUAUUCAAUAGUAGUAUACUUACUGGAGGCGGCCGUUGGCUCGGCGACGGAGGCGAGGGGUGAUCACGGGGUCACCGGGGUGGCUGCUACUGUUCGGGGCGGCGAGGAGGGCCUGUUGCGCAGCUGCGAGAUGGUUGCAUCUGGGGCUUGGGUGUAGCUUCAGGCGAGUGGCGACAGGCGGAGGGAAGGCUCGGCGGCGAGGGGUGGUCGUGGGGUCACUGGCGUGGGCCUGCUGCGAGUCUGGAUAUAGAGCGAAGGGAAGGCUCGGCGCGAGUCUGGAGACAAAGAGGGUCCGCACCGUCCGACGCAAGGCUGGGCGGAGGUCCGGUCCAGUACGGUGCUGGGCGACGGGUUUGAGUGGGUGGGGUGGCAGCGGCGGCCAGAGUUAGGGGCAAAGACAGAUUCAGUUCAAAACUUUAAAAGUAUUGAGUUACCGGUUUCCAUUUCGGUUAC